UUAUGGUGUCAAGAAAACAUAGUCACCAUUAUUAUGAAAAUUAAAAUAUGGAAGAGAUGAUCCCUACUAUCAAUCAGCUUACAACUAGAGGCACUGACAAAUGUAUACAGAUAUCUGUAACGUAAGGUAUAACAUAAGGUUAAAAAUCUGUAAGAGCCUGAUUUUAGAAUUCACCAGCUCCACAGAAGUUUGGCGAAAUAUGAGUUAUUAAGCCUACGCUCAGAUCAAGGUAGCAGCUAGACUGGUGUGACAGCCUGUUUUUAAUCAGUUCCUCAAAGCUGUGAUCUCCCUGAUGUCACCGAAUGGCCACAGCUUGUAAAAGAUCACCAGGAGAACCUCAGUCUGAGAACAUUGAAGCUAGCCGAAUGAAGCGAGCAGCUGCAAAGCAUCUAAUAGAAUGCUACUACCACCAGUUAACCUAGGGCUGUGGAAAUGAGGCCUGCAUGAAUGAGUUUUGUGCUUCCUGUCCAACUUUUCUUCGUAUGGAUAAUAAUGCAGCAGCUAUUAAAGCCCUUGAGCUUUAUAAGAUUAAUGCACAACUCUGUGAUCCUCAUCCCUCCAAGAAAGGAGCAAGCUCAGCUUACCUUGAGAACUCAAAAGGUGCCCCUAACAACUCCUGCUCUGAGAUAAAAAUGAACAAGAAAGGCGCUAGAAUUGAUUUUAAAGAUGUGACUUACUUAACAGAAGAGAAGGUAUAUGAAAUUCUUGAAUUAUGUAGAGAAAGAGAGGAUUAUUCCCCUUUAAUCCUUGUGAUUGGAAGAGUUUUUUCUAGUGCUGAGGCAUUGGUACAGGGCUUCCGGAAAGUUAAACACACCAAGGAAGAACUGAAAUCUCUUCAAGCCAAGGAUGAAGACAAGGAUAAAGAUGAGAAGGAAAAAGCUGCAUGCUCUGCUGCUGCUGUGGAAGAAGACUCAGAAGCAUCUUCCUCCAGGAUAGGUGACAGCUCACAGGGAGACAACAAUUUGCAAAAAUUAGGCCCUGAUGAUGUAUCUGUGGAUGUUGAUGCCAUUAGAAGGGUCUACACCAGAUUGUUCUCUAAUGAAAAAAUUGAAACUGCCUUUCUCAAUGCACUUGUAUAUUUGUCACCUAAUGUGAAAUGCGACUUGACGUAUCACAGCGUAUACUCUCGAGAUCCUAAUUAUCUGAAUUUGUUCAUUAUCAUAAUGGAGAAUAGAAAUCUCCACAGUCCUGAAUAUCUGGAAAUGGCAUUGCCAUUAUUUUCAAAGCAUUGAGCAAGCUACCCCUUGCAGCCCAAAGAAAACUGAUCAGACUGUGGUCUAAAUACAACGCAGACCAGAUUCGGAGAAUGAUGGAGACAUUUCAGCAACUUAUUACUUAUAAAGUCAUAAGCAAUGAAUUUAACAGUCGAAAUCUAGUGAAUGAUGAUGAUGCCAUUGUUGCUGCUUUGAAGUGCUUGAAAAUGGUUUACUAUGCAAAUGUAGUAGGAGAGGAAGUGGACACAAAUCCCAAUGAAGAAGAUGAUGAAGAGCCCAUCCCUGAGUCCAGUGAGCUGCCAUUUCAGGGGCUUUUGGGAGAAGAAAGAAGAAACAAGAAAGGUCCUCAAAUGGACCCCCUGGAAACUGAACUUGGCGAUAAAACCCUGGAUUGUCAAAAACCGCUUAUCCCUUUUGAAGAGUUUAUUAAUGAACCACUGAAUGAGGUUCUAGAAAUUAGAAAUGGAUAAAGAUUAUACUUUUUCAAAGUAGAAACAGAGAACAAAUUCUCUUUUAUGACAUGUCCCUUUAUAUUGAAUGCUGUCACAAAGAAUUUGGGAUUAUAUUAUGACAAUAGAAUUCGCAUGUACAGUGAACAAAGAAUCACUGUUCUCUACAGCUUAGUUCAAGGAUAGCAGUUGAAUCCAUAUUUGAGACUCAAAGUUAGAUGUGACCAUAUCAUAGAUGAUGCACUUGUCCGGCUAGAGAUGAUCGCUAUGGAAAAUCCUGCAGACUUGAAGAAGCAGUUGUAUGUGGAAUUUGAAGGAGAACAAGGAGUUGAUGAGGGAGGUGUUUCCAAAGAAUUUUUUCAGCUGGUUGUGGAGGAAAUCUUCAAUCCAGAUACUGGUAUGUUCACAUACGAUGAAUCUAUAAAAUCGUUUUGGUUUAAUCCAUCUUCUUUUGAAACUGAGGGUCAGUUUACUCUGAUUGGCAUAGUACUGGGUCUGGCUAUUUACAAUAACGGUAUACUGGAUGUACAUUUUCCCAUGGUUGUUUACAGGAAGCUAAUGGGGAAAAAAGGAAUUUUCAUGACUUGGGAGACUCUCACCCAGUUCUAUAUCAGAGUUUAAAAGAUUUAUUGGAGUAUGAAGGGAAUGUGGAAGAUGACAUGAUGAUCACUUUCCAGAUAUCACAAACAGAUCUUUUUGGUAACCCAAUGAUGUAUGAUCUAAAGGAAAAUGGUGAUAAAAUUCCAAUUACAAAUGAAAACAGGAAGGAAUUUGUCAAUCUUUAUUCUGACUACAUUCUCAAUAAAUCAGUAGAAAAACAGUUCAAGGCUUUUCGGAGAGGUUUUCAUAUGGUGACCAAUGAAUCUCUCUUAAAGUACUUAUUCAGCCCAGAAGAAAUUGAAUUGCUUAUAUGUGGAAGCCGGAAUCUAGAUUUCCAGGCACUAGAAGAAACUACAUAAUAUCACCGUAGCUAUACCAGGCAUUCUGUU